AACAAAGAAAAGAAAUGUGAAAAAAAAAAAAGAGUCUUUGAGCUCACAGAAAGUUUCAACUAUAAGACGCAUAAACAGAGAGACAGAGGGUGGGGGUAUUCACAGUCAGUGUUUGUGUUCUUCACUGAUCUAUGUUAUUGUCUUCGAAGGUUCCUAAUUAAGGACUGCUUCAUUGGAAGAAUGUAUUCUGAUAGCAAAGAUUGCAGUUGGCUACCCAUGGGAGAAUGCUCAUGUGUCAUAUUUACUGCUUUGUGGCGUGGCUGUUUAUCCAGGUGAAGUUAGACCAUAUGGAUAGAAAUUUGGGUAAAGGUACAAUGGAUCAACAGAAAAACUACGAGCAAGUUCGAUACAGUACUGUUGAAACUAGAAAUGAGGGACAUGGGUCUGCCAAUCAAAGGUUUUUCCCGGAUCCAUCAAGUAAUAUUAACACUAACAUGCGACCUCCAGAUUACAAUGUUGCUGUUGGAGCCAGGCCUGUGUCGAAUUACUCCAUUCAGACCGGUGAGGAAUUUGCUCUUGAAUUUAUGCGGGAGAGGGUGAACCCAAGGCAGCAUUUACAAAGUGUACUGGCGCUUAGGACAUCCAUCCAAGUGUACUCUUCCUUAUUUACAAAGUUUGAAUUCAAAAAUUUCUUUUGAUAAUAAUCAUGCUUGCACUAUUUGCCCUUUGGCUAAACAUUGUCGGCUUUCUUUUCCUUUAAGCACUAUAUCAACAAAUGCUUGCUUCGAUUUAAUACAUUGUGAUGUUUGGGGACCUUAUUCUGUUUC